UACGUAGGGUGCAAGCGUUGUCCGGAAUUAUUGGGCGUAAAGAGCUCGUAGGCGGUCUGUCGCGUCGAAUGUGAAAAUCCGAGGCUCAACCUCGGACCUGCAUUCGAUACGGGGCAGACUAGAGUUCGGUAGGGGGAGUCUGGAAUUCCUGGUGUAGCGGUGAAAUGCGCAGAUAUCAGGAGGAACACCGGUGGCGAAGGCGGGACUCUGGGCCGAUACUGACGCUGAGGAGCGAAAGCGUGGGGGAGCAAACAGG
rnacentral:rRNA from 1 species